ACCCACACUCUCUCUCUCUUUCUUUCGAGUAAUAAAUAGCAUCGGCAUAGUAACCCUCCAAGCUGCAGCAGAAGUUCAGUAUACAUCUGUACAGAGCAGAGCUGGCUGCUGUAUUACUGCAGUGCUGCAGAAUACCCUGAUCCCCAGUCUCUCUCUCUCCGCACAGCGCCUGUCUUAAGCACACCUGCAUUGCUUGCAGCCAUCUUAAAAUGCUUAAUGCAUGAGAGUGUGGCUUAAACGUGUUGCCAACAAGCCGCAGCUCUACUGCUACCAAUUCUCUAAACGGUCAAGACGUGUCACUGCGAAAUAGUGCAGUUGUUCAUAAGAUAAGAUUUAAUGAUCACGUGGAACACUUUCGAGAAAUUUCCCUCAAAAAUAUUUAAACGACUGUAUAAACUAAUAAAUAUUUGACGCUGUAUUCUUUCUUAUUCUCUAUUCUACAGCACUGUUGAGUUGAGAGAGAAGAUAAUGUUGUCAUCCCAAGAACUCUCUACAGCGUGACAUUGAGAGUCAACCUUCCUGAGUUUGCACUCUCCUUGACGACAAGAGUUUAUGAGAUCCACAGGCAACCACCCCAUGCAAAAGCUUUUGUUCUCUGGUCCUUGCUAUCUGGUAUCCUUGGGAUGUCCCUACCCCCAUUGAAGAUGAAAGAUCCUCUCAAGCUCCGUCAGGUUGGAUGGGGAGCAUCGCUGAACAGCUAUUUUCAGGUCUCUCCAGAGAUGUUUGAGCAUGACUGGGCCACAAGGACAUUCAGAGACCUGUCCUGAAGCCACUCCUGUGUUGUCUUGGCUGUGUGCUCAAGCUCGUUGUUGUCCUGUUGAAAGGUGAACAUUCGCCAGUCUGAAGUCCUGAACGCUCUGGAGCAGGUUUUCAUCAAGGAUCUCUCUGUACUUUGCUCUGUUCAUCAUUCCCUCGAUCCUGACUAGUCUCCCAGUCCCCGCUGUUAAAAAACAUACCCACAGUUUGCUGCUGCCACCACCAUGCUUCACCGUAGGGAUGGUGCCAGGUUUCUUCCAGACGUGAUGCUUGGCAUAAAUGCCAAAGAGUUCAGUCUGUUUCAUCAGACCAGAAAAUCUUGUUGAAAAAGUCAAGGGGUCUGAAUACUUUCCGAAUGCACUGUAGAUCUUGUAUUGUAAUUUGCACUGUACCACGUAUUAGACAUAUAUACUCUUUGUAUGUACUGAUAUGUAGGUCGUGUGUAUUUCAGUCCCUUAUUCAUCAUUUUCUAUACUAUGUAUUAUGUCAUGUUUCCUGUAGACCCCAGGAAGAGUAGAUGAUGCUUGUGCAGUGGCUAAUGUGGAUCCUAAUAAAUACCAAAUACUUGAUGUUUUA